GUUGAGAUUACUAUUUUAAAAAUGUAUACAAUACAUCAAAUUGCCUUGUUAUUAAUGUUUUUUUCUUGGACUGUUCUUUUCCCAGAUCUCCAGAGGUUCACCAUCCAGUCAAGUUCUACACCAAUGUCUCAGAGUGUGGCUCCGGCACAGGGCAGUGCAAUUACAGGCUACCUUCAUGGCAUCCCAUAUACCCUGUGUCUCAUUUCCCUAAGGGCUACUCACCAUCACAUUACAGCCAGAGGUCAUUUAAAAUGUGAGCCGCUCAGACAACAUCUGCAAAAAUUCAAAUCUUGCAGGUUCACAGGUCAAUAAAUGCACAUUUAAAAUAUAAAUUUAAUUUACAAUAUACCAUUUAGGGUAGAUUUGGUUAAGCAAAGUUUAAUAUAAUUUUUGUUUUAUCUUUUUCCUCAGCUGAAUCAAGGGUUCUUGAAUAGAUGAAUAAGGUGUGAAGCCUUCUGAGUAUAAACAGAUUCACCUCUCUACUUCAUUUUUAAAGUAUGCAAAACAAAUGGUGGAUCAAAAGAUAUUCAGCCUGUGAGCCACAUUAAACCCACAUUGUCUAAAGGAUCUAUGGCAUAGAUCAGGUCUGUCACAGCCAGCAUCCCCACACUAGGAGUGGAGCUGUUUGCAGGAUGACUUCAACACUUUAAAUAUGUAAAUAGGUAUUAGUAUUCAUAUUUGAUAUUGUAUGUCUCUAAUAAAAUUGAUUUAUAAAUCUGCAAUAUGUAAUUGCAAUUUUUAAGAGCCUAUGUUACCCUUUGACUUGGUUAAUGUAUAUUCACAUAUGUCUCUGUUCAAGAGUCAUAUCAUAUCUAUUAUAAUGCAUGUAACCCUUUGUCCUGUUUCUUCAUGUGCUCUGUGUAAUGUUGAGACUUCACUGUGCAGCCGAGGACCUGAUAAGACCAAUCGUCAUAACAUAAUCUGGUGACUGCCCAGUUCUCAGGAAUAUGUUACUGUGUUAUUGUGAUGCUCCAAAAGGGAUAAAACUAAACUGUUUCUUUUCUUCGGGGGCUCUUUGGACUUUCACAUAUGAGAGUGUGUGAUGGUUGCGUUGAGACCAUUCAUGGAUGACUUGAAUAAAACCUUACAGAAAGACAAGAUCAUACUUUAUUAAACAAAUUGCCACCACAUUUUAUAGAGUUUUCACUGAUGUGUAUGGAAAUUCAUGACAUUUUCGAUUAAAAUAGGCUACAGUUAAAGACAGCAACACCAGAUAAAGACAUCAAAACCAUUCAAAUGAAAGGUUGGUAAUAAAUACCAUGUACACUUCCUGUACAGCUUCUUAAAUAGCUAGCAGGCACACUAUCUUAAGUGUAUUCUUAGAUCAUGAUAUGCAGUAAGGUCAUUUUAAUUUGGAUGUUACAUUAGUUUUAUAAGUUAUACCUGUAUGAAUUUACAAAAAAUACUCAAGGUUUUGGUGUUAAAUAAAUAAAUAAGAAAGUCUAUGAUUUAACAGAUUUGGCCUGAGGACAACCAUUUUCCAACCCCUAAGCUACUGUAAAGAACCUUUAUAAUUAAUAUUGUUACUAAUUGAUUAUGCAUCUUCUGUUCAUCUUCAAAUAAUAAAAUAAAUUAAUUUUCUAAACAUUUUAGCACAUUAUCCUUGACAAUUUUUUUUCUUUAAAGCAAGCUAAAUAUUUUUUUAUGUCCUCCAGACAGAAGGCAACAAACACGUUUGAGAACAGGAGUAUGAUUAAAGGCCAUAACAGUUUUUUAGCACAUACACCUCAAAACAUACUAUCAAAUCUGACAUCAGAAACAUUGACUUUGAAAAGGAUUUUUACAUAAUCAUCAGUUACAGUCUGUAUUUAGCAAACCUUUUCAGACUUUUCAGCUUUCAAACAGGCAGGCUUUUAAAUGAAAAAUGAAAAUGAAAAAAAAUAUUUGGACUCACUGCCAUAAGAGACACAGCUGUCCAUAGGUAAAAUAUUCAACCUUUAAAAAACUAGGUUGACUGCAGACUAAUAGUGAUGAUUAUAGAUAACUGCAUCACUGCACAAGGUUAGUGGAAG
rnacentral:lncRNA from 15 species